AUUGAACGCUGGCGGCAUGCUUUACACAUGCAAGUCGAACGGCAGCGCGGGGCAACCUGGCGGCGAGUGGCGAACGGGUGAGUAAUAUAUCGGAACGUACCCAAGAGUGGGGGAUAACGUAGCGAAAGUUACGCUAAUACCGCAUACGAUCUAUGGAUGAAAGCAGGGGAUCUUCGGACCUUGUGCUCCUGGAGCGGCCGAUAUCUGAUUAGCUGGUUGGUGAGGUAAAGGCUCACCAAGGCGACGAUCAGUAGCUGGUCUGAGAGGACGACCAGCCACACUGGAACUGAGACACGGUCCAGACUCCUACGGGAGGCAGCAGUGGGGAAUUUUGGACAAUGGGCGAAGCCUGAUCCAGCAAUGCCGCGUGAGUGAAGAAGGCCUUCGGGUUGUAAAGCUCUUUUGUCAGGGAAGAAACGGUUGGGGCUAAUAUCCUCGGCUAAUGACGGUACCUGAAGAAUAAGCACCGGCUAACUACGUGCCAGCCGCCGCCGUAAAAC
rnacentral:rRNA from 1 species